UACAGAGGUCUCAAGCGUUGUUCGGAUUCAUUGGGCGUAAAGGGUGCGUAGGCGGCGCGGUAAGUCGGGUGUGAAAUCUCGGAGCUUAACUCCGAAACUGCAUUCGAUACUGCCGUGCUUGAGGACUGGAGAGGAGGCUGGAAUUCCCGGUGUAGCGGUGGAAUGCGCAGAUAUCGGGAGGAACACCCGUGGCGAAGGCGGCACUCUGGGACGGUACUGACGCUGAGGUGCGAAAGCGUGGGGAGCAAACAGG
rnacentral:rRNA from 1 species